rnacentral:rRNA from 1 species
UACGUAGGGGGCAAGCGUUGUCCGGAUUUACUGGGCGUAAAGAGCUCGUAGGUGGUUUGUCGCGUUGUUCGUGAAAACUCACAGCUCAACUGUGGGCGUGCGGGCGAUACGGGCAGACUUGAGUACUGCAGGGGAGACUGGAAUUCCUGGUGUAGCGGUGGAAUGCGCAGAUAUCAGGAGGAACACCGGUGGCGAAGGCGGGUCUCUGGGCCGAUACUGACGCUGAGGAGCGAAAGCGUGGGGAGCAAACAGG